rnacentral:tRNA from 1 species
UAGAUUGAAGCCAGUUGAAUUAGGGUUCUUAGCUGUUAACUAAGAUUUCGUGGGUUAGGAUCCCACCAGUCUAG